rnacentral:lncRNA from 1 species
CUAGUUCUGAAUCUCUCAAACCCAAUGGCAUUCACUAUUUUGCUCAAAUAAUUUUUUACAAAUGCAUCACACUAUGCAAAUGACAAAAAUUAAAUCCAAACGAUAAUCAUCGAGAUUAGGUGCUCAUAGCCUCAGUGCAACUUUUGCACAAUUGUUGACUCAAAAGAGUCGCUUCACCUUCCCUCGAUCCUCUUCCUUCCUU